AGCGAGCGGGAAGAGCUCAAAUUUAUAAUCUGGCACCUUCGGUGUCCGAGUUGUAAUCUCUAGAAAUGUUUUCCGCGUUGGACCGCACACAAGUCUGUUGGAAUACAGCGGCAUAGUGGUGAGACCCCCGUAUAUGGUGCGGACGCCCAGCGCUUUGUGAUACAUUUUCGAAGAGUCGAGUUGUUUGGGAAUGCAGCUCAAAUUGGGUGGUAAAUUCCAUCUAAAGCUAAAUAUUGGCGAGAGACCGAUAGCGAACAAGUACCGUGAGGGAAAGAUGAAAAGCACUUUGGAAAGAGAGUUAACAGUACGUGAAAUUGUUGGAAGGGAAACGCUUGAAGUCAGACUUGCUUGCCGAGCAAUCGGUUUGCAGGCCAGCAUCAGUUUUCCGGGAUGGAUAAUGGUAGAGAGAAGGUAGCAGUUUCGGCUGUGUUAUAGCUCUCUGCUGGAUACAUCUUGGGGGACUGAGGAACGCAGAGUGCCUUUGGCGGGGGUUUCGACCUCUUCACACUUAGGAUGCUGGUGGAAUGGCUUUAAACGACCCGUCUUGAAACACGGACCA
rnacentral:rRNA from 1 species